CGGGGUGAGUAACGCGUGGGUAACCUGCCUCAUACAGGGGGAUAACAGUUGGAAACGACUGCUAAUACCGCAUAAGCGCACAGGAUUGCAUGAUCCAGUGUGAAAAACUCCGGCGGUAUGAGAUGGACCCGCGUCUGAUUAGCCAGUUGGCGGGGUAACGGCCCACCAAAGCAACGAUCAGUAGCCGACCUGAGAGGGUGACCGGCCACAUUGGGACUGAGACACGGCCCAA
rnacentral:rRNA from 1 species